CAUACCGUCGCCGUUCAUCGUGAAGCUCCGGCCGUCGCGUCCUCGUACGCCGGAACUCGCACAGCUUUUCCGACGAGCCUGAAGAGAUAUCUCGACUCGACGGUUCGAUUCGAUGGCACGAAACGGGCAGUAAUAGGGGAGAAGCACUGAAACCGGCGAAACCAUUUUCGGGCUCUGAAGCCUAGUUGAUGAUCUCAUUGAAAUGUUGAGAAUGAAUUGCUGAGAAUACUCUACUUCUGCCGAGGAAUAUGGCCAUCUCUUCCUCUUCGCUCGAGCUGUCGAGGUCGCUCAGGUCGGAGCUGAAGUAACACUCGCCGGACCCGUACUUCGUGAAGUAGUGGAC